GGCUCGGCGUUGGCCUCCGCGGCCCGUGCGAGUGCGCCCUUCUCGGGUCCCCUAGGUCGCGGGGCAGCCGGGGCGGAAGGGGCUUGUUCAUUAUUUUGAGAGUUUGUUGUGAACGUCAUAACCUUUCGUCCUUAAAUAUUGCCGAUACUUGACCUACGCAAGAGACAAUGUCAUGUGAUUCAGCCUAAUAUCUCAACUGCUGUGAUUGCACCUGCCAUCUUAUGCAGAAAUGACCUGAAGACAGACUGAAACAACGUGUUCUACAGCCUGAAAAUAUCUACCUUGACUUACAGUUUUAUUAAUGCUGGUGUGAUCAGACUGGACAAAAAUUAGCAUAUGUUAUUAACUGAUCUAAUUCAAGUGCCAAUUCUUAAUAGAAACACAAAACAAUAAAAGCAAUUCAGAAAAU
rnacentral:lncRNA from 1 species